GAUGAAGAACGUAGCGAAAUGCGAUACGUAAUGUGAAUUGCAGAAUUCAGUGAAUCAUCGAAUCUUUGAACGCACAUUGCGCCUGCCAGCACUCUGGCAGGCAUGCCUGUUCGAGCGUCAUUUCAACCAUCAAGCCCUAGGCUUGCGUUGGAGCCCUGCGGCUGCCGCAGGCCCCUAAAAGCAGUGGCGGGCUCGCUAUCACACCGAGUGCAGUAGAUUACUCUUCGCUCAGGGCGUGUGGCGGGUUCCAGCCGUGAAACCCCCUACUUCUCAAGGUUGACCUCGGAUCAGGUAGGAAUACCCGCUGAACUUAAGCAUAUCAAUAAGCGGGGA
rnacentral:misc_RNA from 1 species